AGUUUGGGUGAUUGUCUGAAUGUUUUCCCAUCAGUAAGACUCCUCUGAUCUUUAGAGUGAACAAAAAUGACACUCUGGAUAAACCUCAUAUUAUUUUCAAUACUCCUCAGAGGUAUCCAGUCGGAGGUCCAGUUGGUGGAGUCUGGAGGGGAUGUGAGAAGACCUGGAGAUUCCCUCCAUCUCUCCUGCCAAGGCUCUGGAUUCAGCUUCAGCAGCUAUGGCAUGAGCUGGGUGAGACAGUAUCCUGGGAAAGGACUGGAAUGGGUGGCAGUCAUAUGGUAUGAUUCCAGUAAUAAAUACUACUCAGACAAAGUCAAGGGACGCUUCACCAUCUCCAGAGACAAUGCCAAAAGCCAGGUGUAUCUGCAAAUGAACAACCUCAAGCCCGAGGACACAGGACGCUAUUACUGUGCAAGAGACACAGUGAGAGGAAGUGAAUCUGAAGCCAAGCAAAAACUGCCCGUUCCUCAGAGCUGCUCUGUGAGUUUAUCCAUGAACCACAGCUUCAACUGGUACACUGAAAUUGUGAAGAAUCAUCCAAAAAACAAAACAAAAAAGGAGCACAAAAAGUUACUCUCCUGA